rnacentral:rRNA from 2 species
GCAUCAUGAUUUACAUUUGAGUGAGUGGCGAACUGGUGAGUAACACGUGGGAAACCUGCCCAGAAGCGGGGGAUAACACCUGGAAACAGAUGCUAAUACCGCAUAACAACUUGGACCGCAUGGUCCGAGCUUGAAAGAUGGCUUCGGCUAUCACUUUUGGAUGGUCCCGCGGCGUAUUAGCUAGAUGGUGGGGUAACGGCUCACCAUGGCAAUGAUACGUAGCCGACCUGAGAGGGUAAUCGGCCACAUUGGGACUGAGACACGGCCCAAACUCCUACGGGAGGCAGCAGUAGGGAAUCUUCCACAAUGGACGAAAGUCUGAUGGAGCAACGCCGCGUGAGUGAAGAAGGGUUUCGGCUCGUAAAACUCUGUUGUUAAAGAAGAACAUAUCUGAGAGUAACUGUUCAGGUAUUGACGGUAUUUAACCAGAAAGCCACGGCUAACUACGUGCCAGCAGCCGCGGUAAUACGUAGGUGGCAAGCGUUGUCCGGAUUUAUUGGGCGUAAAGCGAGCGCAGGCGGUUUUUUAAGUCUGAUGUGAAAGCCUUCGGCUCAACCGAAGAAGUGCAUCGGAAACUGGG